rnacentral:rRNA from 1 species
ACGCUGGCGGUAGGCUUAACACAUGCAAGUCGUGCGAGAAAGUACCUUCGGGUGCGAGUAGAGCGGCGGACGGGUGAGUAACGCGUAGGAAUCUACCUAGUAGAAGGGGAUAGCCCGAGGAAACUCGGAUUAAUACCGUAUACCUCCUUAGGGAGAAAGAGGGCUUAGCUUUGAUGCUCUCGCUACUAGAUGAGCCUGCGUAAGAUUAGCUUGUUGGUGAGGUAAUGGCUCACCAAGGCGACGAUCUUUAGCUGGUCUGAGAGGACGAUCAGCCACAUUGGGACUGAGACACGGCCCAGACUCCUACGGGAGGCAGCAGUGGGGAAUAUUGGACAAUGGGCGCAAGCCUGAUCCAGCCAUACCGCGUGUGUGAAGAAGGCUUUCGGGUUGUAAAGCACUUUAAGUAAGGAGAAAAAGAUUGUAGUUAAUACCUGCAAUCCUUGAUGUUACUUACAGAAUAAGGACCGGCUAAUUCCGUGCCAGCAGCCGCGGUAAUACGGAAGGUCCAAGCGUUAAUCGGAAUUACUGGGCGUAAAGCGCGCGUAGGUGGUUUUUUAAGUUGGAUGUGAAAGCCCUGGGCUCAACCUAGGAACUGCAUCCAAAACUAGAUGACUAGAGUACGAAAGAGGGAAGUAGAAUUCACAGUGUAGCGGUGGAAUGCGUAGAUAUUGUGAAGAAUACCAAUGGCGAAGGCAGCUUCCUGGUUCUGUACUGACACUAAGGUGCGAAAGCGUGGGUAGCGAACAGGAUUAGAUACCCUGGUAGUCCACGCCGUAAACGAUGACAACUAGCUGUUGGGAGACAAGAUCUCUCAGUGGCGCAGCUAACGCUUUAAGUUGUCCGCCUGGG